rnacentral:rRNA from 1 species
ACGCUCGACACCUACGAGAGGCAGCAGUGGGGAAUAUUGCACAAUGGGGGAAACCCUGAUGCAGCGACGCCGCGUGGAGGAAGAAGGUCUUCGGAUUGUAAACUCCUGUUGUUGGGGAAAAAGAGGAUGGUACCCAACAAGGAAGUGACGGCUAACUACGUGCCCGCAGCCGCGGUAAUCUGAGCGGGCUGGCAAGGC